rnacentral:tRNA from 1 species
CUUGGUAUAGGCUCAAUGGUAGAGUGUUUGCCUAGCAUGCAUGAGGCCCAGGGUACAAUCCCUGGCACCGAAA